GCAGCUCAGAAAAUGGAUGGACGGUGGUGUGUCGCCACCCUGCUAUUUCAGCCUCUUUUUUUUAUCUGCUAAGAUUAUCAAUGGCCAAAUUAGGAUUGUUUUCCAUUGGCCACCAUUUCGCAUAUUUACAAGCCGCCAAGGACGAUCAAUGAAGAGGAAGUCAACACCUGAGAUUGGAGGUGGCUCGGAUGAUUAGCCCCCUGUGACACAUGACCCUCGUGGGGAUAAGCAGCUCAGAAAAUGGAUGGAUGGAUGGAUUCUAAUUGUUUUACAUUUAAGAUAAGCGAUAUUAUUGAAAUCGUGCAUGUCUGCGCAGGCAUGUGCACAGAUGUUUGAAGGGACGGGUCCUCAGCCUCCUCCCGAAACAAAAAUCCGGAUC